GUCUACGGCCAUGCCACCCUGAAGAAGCCCGAUGUCUGAUCGCAGAAGCUAAGCAGGGUCGGGCCUGGUCAGUACUUGGAUGGGAGACCACGUAGGAAGACCAGGUGCUGUAGGUG
rnacentral:rRNA from 1 species